rnacentral:rRNA from 1 species
UACAGAGGUCCCAAGCGUUGUUCGGAUUCACUGGGCGUAAAGGGUGCGUAGGUGGUCGGGUAAGUCUGACGUGAAAUCUCCGAGCUCAACUCGGAAACUGCGUCGGAUACUAUUCGGCUCGAGGGUUGGAGAGGGGACUGGAAUUCUCGGUGUAGCAGUGAAAUGCGUAGAUAUCGAGAGGAACACCAGUGGCGAAGGCGAGUCCCUGGACAACUCCUGACACUGAGGCACGAAAGCUAGGGGAGCAAACAGG